CGGAGGGUGCGAGCGUUGUCCGGAAUCAUUGGGCGUAAAGGGCGCGUAGGUGGCCCGGUCAGUCCGUGGUGAAAGCGCGGGGCUCAACCCUGCGUCGGCCAUGGAUACUGCCGCGGCUCGAGCACUGUAGAGGCAGGCGGAAUUCCGGGUGUAGCGGUGGAAUGCGUAGAGAUCCGGAAGAACACCGGUGGCGAGGGCGGCCUGCUGGGCAGUUUGGCUGACACUGAGGCGCGACAGCGUGGGGAGCAAACAGGAUUAGAUACCCUGGUAGUCCACGCCGUAAACGAUGGGCACUAGGCGCUUGGGGGAGCGACCCCCCGAGGGCCGGCGCUAACGCAUUAAGUGCCCCGCCUGGGGAGUACGGCCGCAAGGCUG
rnacentral:rRNA from 1 species